CAAUCAUUUGUCUCUGAGUGUAUUGAUCAGUAUCACGAAACAAUUCAUUAGAUUUUAAAACAUUAGCAACAGUAUCAUCGACGGACAAUAUGCUUUUGCGAAAACUAAUGACACCUUGAAAAGCAAUAUAGGAAAGCUCCGAAUGAUAGAGAUCUGGAUAGAGGGAGAUAACUACGCGAGGAUCAAUUUUGGAAGUUUCAAGCAAAGAGAGAGAAUUUUCAUACUGUCCUUGCUUCCAAUACUGUAAUGCCGAGAUUUGCUCCAAAUAAGCAGAUUGAAGAUAAGCGACAUCAUUGGUUAUUCCAUACUUCUUCGGAUUCCGCAAUCGCUUACUCACUCGACGCAGAGGGGCUUCAAUAUCGCCUAUGGUAAUACUGAAUUCUAGUUUGUUCAUAAAAUGAGCUUCAGCGCCAAACCCCCAAGAUUUAUUCGUAAGAAAAAUAAAUGAAGGCUUGCUAAAAGAAGCCCUUUCUAUCGUAUCAGAAGUUUUUGAGGUAGACGCAGUAUUCACAGCAGAGAAUUUACUAAAUAUUUGGCGAUCACAAAAAUGAACGCUUGUCAAUCGAGAAAUAAAAGAGAAACUUUCAUCAUCCUUCAGAUUAAUACUUUUAACAAGACUGAGAGUAUUUAUGUCGAUGAUCUGUAACGAACUAGAAGAAAUGGCGAACACAUAAUGAGAUGUAGAAAAAACAUGUUUUGGAUAAAAUGAAAAAGUUAGAGUGCUUCUUGUGACAUUCCCUUGGGAAUCUACAAAAAGCCCUAUGGCAUCUUUGGGACUACCGGUAAUCAAGAGAAAUUCAUUAGAAUGCAAAACAAUCAUGGGUUUGUACAUUAGCCCAUUAUUUUCCGAAUCGUAUUUGAUAAUGGGAAAGAGGGGAGUAGUAUCAAAGGUGAGAAUAUCCAAUAAUUCAAAGGAAUUUUCGGUAACUAGACAAACGAUAUGACCAUUCA